rnacentral:hammerhead_ribozyme from 1 species
AUCCAGCUGACGAGUCCCAAAUAGGACGAAACACAUGUCUAACUGCAC